CUGAACAUUGAGCCUUGAUGUGUAGGAUAGGUGGGAGGCUUUGAAGUGUGGACGCCAGUCUGCAUGGAGCCGACCUUGAAAUACCACCCUUUAAUGUUUGAUGUUCUAACGUGGACCCGUAAUCCGGGUUGCGGACAGUGUCUGGUGGGUAGUUUGACUGGGGCGGUCUCCUCCUAAAGAGUAACGGAGGAGCACGAAGGUUGGCUAAUCCUGGUCGGACAUCAGGAGGUUAGUGCAAUGGCAUAAGCCAGCUUGACUGCGAGCGUGACGGCGCGAGCAGGUGCGAAAGCAGGUCAUAGUGAUCCGGUGGUUCUGAAUGGAAGGGCCAUCGCUCAACGGAUAAAAGGUACUCCGGGGAUAACAGGCUGAUACCGCCCAAGAGUUCAUAUCGACGGCGGUGUUUGGCACCUCGAUGUCGGCUCAUCACAUCCUGGGGCUGAAGUAGGUCCCAAGGGUAUGGCUGUUCGCCAUUUAAAGUGGUACGCGAGCUGGGUUUAGAACGUCGUGAGACAGUUCGGUCCCUAUCUGCCGUGGGCGCUGGAGAACUGAGGGGGGCUGCUCCUAGUACGAGAGGACCGGAGUGGACGCAUCACUGGUGUUCGGGUUGUCAUGCCAAUGGCACUGCCCGGUAGCUAAAUGCGGAAGAGAUAAGUGCUGAAAGCAUCUAAGCACGAAACUUGCCCCGAGAUGAGUUCUCCCUGAGACUUAGAGUCUCCUGAAGGAAC
rnacentral:rRNA from 1 species